GCUUGCAUCUGCAGUUUCUCAAUUCUGAGUUACUGGGACUCCCUCUGAGGCUCCAGGGCUCUCCCGUCUCCUCGUCUUCCCGCGCUGAGAGCUGGCCUCAAAACUAGGACCUGCUUGCCGCAACAAAGACGGAAGACUCCACAUGUCGCAACUAAGAUCCAGCGCAGCCAAUGAGAUGACGCGUUCAAAGUUGGAAAGCUUUGGGAGACUGAGUCUAACGAGAGCCGCCUGUUGGAAACGUCACGGUCCCCAAAUCCAGAGGGAGCCGUCUACCCAUUCCUCGAGCACCGCAGGGUGGAGACGCCACAGAGGGAGGCGGAGGUGUACAGAGGGGAGCGGCAGGGACUGCGGGGCUGAUGCUCUUCUUGGCCAAAUAAAAUCUCUGUCACGUUGGCAGUACAAAUAC
ensembl:lncRNA